rnacentral:misc_RNA from 1 species
GAUGAAGAACGCAGCGAAAUGCGAUACGUAAUGUGAAUUGCAGAAUUCAGUGAAUCAUCGAAUCUUUGAACGCAUAUUGCGCUCUCUGGUAUUCCGGAGAGCAUGCUUGUUUGAGUAUCAGUAAACACCUCAACUUCCAUAUCUUUUUUUGAAAUGGGAGUUGGACUUGAGUGAUCCCUACGCUUUUCCUCACCGAAAAGUGGCGGGUUACUUGAAAUGCAGGUGCAGCUGGACUUUUCUCUGAGCUAUAAGCAUAUCUAUUUAGUCUGCCUAAAAAACAGAUUAUUACCUUUGCUGCAGCUAACAUAAAGGAGAUUAGUUCUUGUGCUGACUGAUGCAGGAUUCACAAAGACAGCUUCGGCCGACUUUGUAAACUCGAUCUCAAAUCAAGUAAGACUACCCGCUGAACUUAAGCAUAUCAAUAAGCGGAGA